ACGGGAGGCAGCAGUGGGGAAUAUUGGGCAAUGGGCGCAAGCCUGACCCAGCAAUGCCGCGUGAAGGAAGAAGGCUUUCGGGUUGUAAACUUCUUUUAAGUGGGACGAUAAUGACGGUACCACUUGAAUAAGCUCCGGCUAACUACGUGCCAGCAGCCGCGGUAAUACGUAGGGAGCAAGCGUUAUCCGGAUUUACUGGGUGUAAAGGGCGUGUAGGCGGGACAGCAAGUCAGAUGUGAAAGCACGAGGCUCAACUUCGUGUCUGCAUUUGAAACUGCUGUUCUUGAGUGCUGGAGAGGCUAACGGAACUCCUAGUGUAGCGGUGAAAUGCGUAGAUAUUAGGAAGAACACCAGUGGCGAAGGCGGUUAGCUGGACAGUAACUGACGCUGAGGCGCGAAAGCGUGGGUAGCAAACAGGAUUAGAUACCCUGGUA
rnacentral:rRNA from 1 species